UCCCAUAUGGUUUAGCAGUUAGGACUCCUGGUUUUCAUCCAGGUAGCCUGGGUUUGACCCCGGUAUGGGAA